UACGGGGGGAGCAAGCGUUGUUCGGAUUUACUGGGCGUAAAGGGCGCGUAGGCGGUCAGCACAAGUCAGUUGUGAAAUCUCCGGGCUUAACUCGGAAAGGUCAACUGAUACUGUGCGACUAGAGUGCGGAAGGGGCAACUGGAAUUCUCGGUGUAGCGGUGAAAUGCGUAGAUAUCGAGAGGAACACCUGCGGCGAAGGCGGGUUGCUGGGCCGACACUGACGCUGAUGCGCGAAAGCCAGGGGAGCGAAACGGG
rnacentral:rRNA from 1 species